AUUGAACGCUGGCGGCAUGCUUUACACAUGCAAGUCGAACGGUAACAGGCCUUCGGGUGCUGACGAGUGGCGAACGGGUGAGUAAUGCAUCGGAACGUGCCCAGAGGUGGGGGAUAACGCAGCGAAAGCUGUGCUAAUACCGCAUGUGAUCGGAGGAUGAAAGCGGGGGACCAGGCAGCAAUGUUUGGCCUCGCGCCUUUGGAGCGGCCGAUGUCGUAUUAGGUAGUUGGUGGGGUAAAGGCCUACCAAGCCGACGAUCUGUAGCUGGUCUGGGAGGACGACAGGCCGCACUGGGACUGGGACACGGCCCAGACUCCUGCGGGAGGCAGCAGUGUGGAAUUUUGGACAAUGGGCGCAAGCCUGAUCCAGCAAUGCCGCGUGCGGGAAGAAGGCCUUCGGGUUGUAAACCGCUUUUGUACGGAACGAAAAGGCUCUGGCUAAUACCUGGGGCUGAUGACGGUACCGUAAGAAUAAGCACCGGCUAACUACGUG
rnacentral:rRNA from 1 species